rnacentral:rRNA from 1 species
UGGGGAAUAUUGCACAAUGGGCGCAAGCCUGAUGCAGCCAUGCCGCGUGUAUGAAGAAGGCCUUCGGGUUGUAAAGUACUUUCAGCGGGGAGGAAGGCGAUGUGGUUAAUAACCGCAUCGAUUGACGUUACCCGCAGAAGAAGCACCGGCUAACUCCGUGCCAGCAGCCGCGGUAAUACGGAGGGUGCAAGCGUUAAUCGGAAUUACUGGGCGUAAAGCGCACGCAGGCGGUCUGUCAAGUCAGAUGUGAAAUCCCCGGGCUUAACCUGGGAACUGCAUUUGAAACUGGCAGGCUUGAGUCUCGUAGAGGGGGGUAGAAUUCCAGGUGUAGCGGUGAAAUGCGUUAGAGAUCUGGAGGAAUACCGGUGGCGAAGGCGGCCCCCUGGACAAAGACUGACGCUCAGGUGCGAAAAGCGUGGGGAGCAAACA